rnacentral:rRNA from 1 species
AUGGAUUUGAGCAACGGCUCACCGGUCAUCAGUGAUCCGAUGUCAAUGAGCCAGUCGUUGAUGGGAGUGCUGCCUUCCAACAUGAUGCCGUUUUCAGUCAGGCCCGGAGGUUACUCCGGCGCUGGUGGCGCCGGCGUAAACGUCAGCAGGCGCAAGAUCGAGGAGGUCCUCGUGAGCGGGCUGCUGGAUGCCAUGAAAUCCUCGUCGCCGCGUAAGAAGCACAACGUGGUCUUCGGCCAGGAAAACCUGCCCGAGGAAGAUCCUGCCUACAGUGCAUGGAUGGCCAAAUGCCCCUCUGCUCUGGCUUCCUUCAAGCAGAUCGUAGCCAGUGCACAAGGCAAGAAGAUUGCUGUGUUCCUGGACUACGAUGGCACCCUGUCGCCGAUCGUCGACGACCCUGAAAAAGCCGUCAUGUCCCCUGUGAUGAGAGCUGCUGUGAGAAACGUCGCCAAGUACUUCCCCGCCGCCAUCGUCAGUGGAAGGUCCCGGAAGAAGGUUCUUGAAUUCGUAAAACUGAAGGAACUCUGCUAUGCUGGAAGUCAUGGGAUGGACAUAAUGACAUCUUCUUCAGCACAUUAUGAACACAAUGCUGAAAAGGGCAAAGAAGCCAACCUCUUCCAACCUGCUCGCGAUUUUCUGCCUAUGAUCGAUGAGGUUUCCAAGGCCCUCUUGGAAGUCACGAGAGGAAUCGAAGGCGCGAGCGUUGAGGAUAACAAGUUCUGCGUGUCUGUUCAUUACCGCAACGUAGACGAGAAGGACUGGGAGCUGGUCGCACGGCUCGUAAACGAGGUGCUGGAGGAUUUCCCCACUCUCAAAGUGACCAACGGGCGAAUGGUUUUAGAGGUUCGUCCGGUGAUCGACUGGGACAAGGGGAAGGCCGUCGAGUUCCUGCUUCAGUCGCUCGGCCUGAGCGACCCCGAGAACGUGAUCCCAAUCUACAUCGGCGACGACCGCACCGACGAAGACGCGUUCAAGGUGCUCCGGGAGAGGAACUGCGGGUACGGGAUACUGGUCUCGCAGGCGCCCAAGGAAACCGAAGCCUUCUACUCGCUCAGGGACCCGUCUGAAGUGAUGGAGUUCCUGAACUCCUUGGUGAGGUGGAAGAAGCACUCGCUAUGA